rnacentral:rRNA from 1 species
AUUGAACGCUGGCGGAAUGCUUUACACAUGCAAGUCGAGCGGCAGCGCGGGGCAACCUGGCGGCGAGCGGCGAACGGGUGAGUAAUGCAUCGGAACAUGUCCAGUCGUGGGGGAUAGCCCGCCGAAAGGCGGAUUAAUACCGCAUACGCCCGGGAGGGGAAAGCGGGGGACCGUAAGGCCUCGCGCGAUUGGGUUGGCCGAUGUCCGAUUAGCUUGUUGGUGAGGUAAAGGCUUACCAAGGCGAUGAUCG